rnacentral:rRNA from 1 species
UACGUAGGUCCCGAGCGUUGUCCGGAUUUAUGGGGCGUAAAGCGAGCGCAGGUGGUUUAUUAAGUCUGGUGUAAAAGGCAGUGGCUCAACCAUUGUAUGCAUUGGAAACUGGUAGACUUGAGUGCAGGAGAGGAGAGUGGAAUUCCAUGUGUAGCGGUGAGAUGCGUAGAUAUAUGGAGGAACACCGGUGGCGAAAGCGGCUCUCUGGCCUGUAACUGACACUGAGGCUCGAAAGCGUGGGGAGCAAACAGG